rnacentral:rRNA from 1 species
UACGGAGGGUGCAAGCGUUAUCCGGAUUUACUGGGUUUAAAGGGUGCGUAGGUGGGUAAGUAAGUCAGUGGUGAGAUCUUCGAGCUUAACUCGGAAACUGCCAUUGAUACUAUUUAUCUUGAAUACUUUGGAGGUAAGCGGAAUAUGUCAUGUAGCGGUGAAAUGCUUAGAUAUGACAUAGAACACCAAUUGCGAAGGCAGCUUACUACACAGUUAUUGACACUGAGGCACGAAAGCGUGGGGAUCAAACAGG